UUGAAAAAAAAGCGAGAGAGCGCAGCCAUGCUUUGCAGAGGCUACAGCAUCGCUCUCAUUGGUCGUAUCAGCCCCUCGCCGAACGGAGCCUUCGCUUGUUCGAAAGGAACCGGGGAAUACAAGCCACUGCCACUCCGCGAUGUUAAAAGGUCCGCAGUGAGGCAUUAAUGCUGUAGCGAAGUGAAAAUACCGCAGAGCACGGAUACAUGUUAGCAGAGCGCAGUGUUCUGGGAUCCACCGCGGACCGAAUUGUGGUGCAUUAAGGGAUAAUGGGGGACUUUGAAUCUUCCUACAGUUUUGGACAAAGCAGUCGACGGAAAAUCAUCAAACGUAAUCCAUUUUCACCCGAAAAAGCGGCAUGGGACUGAUCUUUUUGGAUCCGCGCUUGGGAUUUUUUCUUUCUUCCGUUCUUGACCAAACUUGACAUCCUGUUUUAGAGUUUUUAGUUGAGUAAACCUGCUUCAAGAGGCUGCACCAUUAUGUCAUUUACACUUGUAAUAACAGGUUCGACGGAAAGGUUUGAGGUCUUCGGCCGCUUCUCACAGCAAAGUGAAUGCAGCUGGACACACACGACACAUUCUCUCACACACACACACACACACACACACACACACACACACACACACACACACACACACACACACGCCCGAAAACACACACAGACCAGCGGGUUGUGUCUCUCCGUGUUCACAGCGGACCUUGAUUUAAUGUCUUACAAUUAAGGCACGCGGUGAAUGCCAAGAGAUUACCCUUCUUUCUUCGGAUAUAUUCCCAUAACGCAUCACAGCUUAAAACACAUCUCUGGUCCUAUUGGUGUUUCUUUAUGAAUGUUUGCUUCUGUCGUGUCAAACUGUCUCAAUUUUGUACUUUCCCCCUCCCCCUGCCCUACAAUAAAGGAUAUACACACAACCA